GAACGCUGGCGGCAUGCCUUACACAUGCAAGUCGAACGACGCUAGGGGCAACUCUAGCGAGUGGCGUACGGGUGAGUAAUGCAUCGGAACGUGCCCUCUCGUGGGGGAUAACCAGUCGAAAGAUUGGCUAAUACCGCAUGAGCUCGAGAGAGGAAAGCGGGGGAUCCGCAAGGACCUCGCGCGAGAGGAGCGGCCGAUGCCCGAUUAGCUAGUUGGGGGGGUAAAAGCCCACCAAGGCGACGAUCGGUAGCUGGUCUGAGAGGACGACCAGCCACACUGGGACUGAGACACGGCCCAGACUCCUACGGGAGGCAGCAGUGGGGAAUUUUGGACAAUGGGGGCAACCCUGAUCCAGCCAUGCCGCGUGUGUGAAGAAGGCCUUCGGGUUGUAAAGCACUUUCGGACGGAACGAAAUCGCGCGGGUGAACAAUCCGCGUGGAUGACGGUACCGUAAGAAGAAGCACCGGCUAACUACGUGCCAGCAGCCGCCGUAA
rnacentral:rRNA from 1 species